rnacentral:rRNA from 1 species
UGGGGAAUAUUGGACAAUGGGGGGAACCCUGAUCCAGCCAUGCCGCGUGUGUGAAGAAGGCCUUUUGGUUGUAAAGCACUUUAAGCGAGGAGGAGGAGCCCUAAGUUAAUACCUUAGGAGCUCGGACGUUACUCGCAGAAUAAGCACCGGCUAACUCUGUGCCAGCAGCCGCGGUAAUACAGAGGGUGCGAGCGUUAAUCGGAUUUACUGGGCGUAAAGCGUGCGUAGGCGGCCACUUAAGUCGGAUGUGAAAUCCCCGAGCUCAACUUGGGAAUUGCAUUCGAUACUGGGUGGCUAGAGUAUGGGAGAGGAAGGUAGAAUUCCAGGUGUAGCGGUGAAAUGCGUAGAGAUCUGGAGGAAUACCGAUGGCGAAGGCAGCCUUCUGGCCUAAUACUGACGC